rnacentral:misc_RNA from 1 species
UUGAAUGUUUCUUUAGCGGGUCCAACACUUUUUGGGCCUGUGAUAAGCACUGCUGCACUAAUUGCUAGCCAGUCUCUUGCAAAUGGAGGGAAAAAAUACUUUGUUUUGUUAAUAAUUACGGAUGGAGUUGUAACAGAUCUCCAAGAAACCAAAGAUGCCAUAGUGAAGGCGUCUGACCUACCAUUAUCAAUCCUUAUUGUUGGAGUUGGAGGAGCCGACUUCAAAGAAAUGGAGAUUUUAGAUGCUGAUAAAGGAGAGAGACUUGAAA